AUUGAACGCUGGCGGCAUGCCUUACACAUGCAAGUCGAACGGUAACAGGUCUUCGGAUGCUGACGAGUGGCGAACGGGUGAGUAAUACAUCGGAACGUGCCUAGUAGUGGGGGAUAACUACCCGAAAGAGUGGCUAAUACCGCAUGAGAUCUACGGAUGAAAGCAGGGGAUCGCAAGAACUUGGGCUACUAGAGCGGCCGAUGGCCGAUUAGGUAGUUGGUGGGAUAAAAGCUUACCAAGCCGACGAUCUGUAGCUGGUCUGAGAGGACGAUCAGCCACACUGGGACUGAGACACGGCCCAGACUCCUACGGGAGGCAGCAGUGGGGAAUUUUGGACAAUGGGCGCAAGCCUGAUCCAGCAAUGCCGCGUGCAGGAUGAAGGCCUUCGGGUUGUAAACUGCUUUUGUACGGAACGAAAAGCCCUGGGUUAAUACCCUGGGGUCAUGACGGUACCGUAAGAAUAAGCACCGGCUAACUACGUGCCAGCCGCCGCCGUAACAC
rnacentral:rRNA from 1 species